rnacentral:rRNA from 1 species
UACAGAGGGGGCAAGCGUUGUUCGGAAUUACUGGGCGUAAAGGGCGCGUAGGCGGCACGGCAAGUCGGGAGUGAAAGGCCUGGGCUCAACCGAGGAACUGCUUUCGAGACUGCCGAGCUAGAGUGCGGAAGGGGCAUCUGGAAUUCCCAGUGUAGCGGUGAAAUGCGUAGAUAUCUGGAGGAACACCGGUGGCGAAGGCGGCGUCCUGGACCAACACUGACACUGAUGAGCGAAAGCCAGGGGAGCAAACGGG